UGCUGCUACAGCAACUUCACCCACAGCUACCAUGACUUUGAUCCCCGUCUUCAUCUGGACACUGAUCUUCUGGACUCAAGAAUGCAGAGGUCAAGUCACAGUAACUCAGACUCCUGCAGUGAAAUCUGCUCUUCCAGGAGAAACAGUCACCAUCAACUGUAGAAUCAGUCAGGCAGUGUACAAGGACUCAUCUGGUCAGUGGUUACACUGGUAUCAGCAGAAACCUGGAGAAGCUCCUAAACUCGUGAUUAAACUUGUGAAUCAGUUGCAGUCAGGUUUUCCAGCUCGUUUCAGUGGCAGUGGAUCUGGAUCUGAUUUCACUCUGACCAUCAGUGGAGUCCAGACUGAAGAUGCAGGAGAUUACUACUGUCAGAGUUACCACAGUGGUGGUGUGUUCACACAGUGUUAUAGAGUCGUACAAAAACCUCCCUCAGUCAGAUUGUAGAGAGACUGCACUGCUGCAGCUGGGAGCGACUGCAGGUGCUGAGUUGUAGGAUGUGAUACGAUACAAUGACACUCUGUGGAGGAGAGGAACCACACCACACUAACUCACAACUCACAUUACAAAUCUCUCAAUAAUCAUCACACCACACUGCACACAGUCCAUCACAUCCACUACUUUAAGAUAAUUCGUUUUUUUAGUUUGCUGAGGUGCUAUUUGUCCUAACUGAAACUGUUUGGUGGAUAAUUUUUUUCAGUCUCUAUCACUAAUCCUGCCCCCAUUACAGUCUCUGAUUCUGACCUGAUAUCAGUCACUGUUAUGAAUCUAGUUGCAGCCUCAAUCUGUGUGUCUGUCUUGUGUGUGUUUCAGGUCACACUCUGGCCCUGCUCCAGAUUCUGGCUCAGUCAAUGGUGUAGCUCCUCCUGUCCUUUAACAGCUGCCCUCUAACACACAAUAGUGUAAACUUUUUUGGACCAGGUCUUCAUCCAUCCUUCAUCAGCUCUAGAUAUCAGCAUUACCAUUUCUAUCUGUUCCUGUCAUUACAGAAGUUUCAUGUCCAGUUUGUCUCACCUGUUGUCCUGUUCUGUUGUACUCCUAGUGCACUUUGAGUUCUUCUGUAUAAUUAUGUGUAUGUUAUUAAUAUUCUGAGUCUUUAUGAGGAAAAGUAAUUAGAUUUCAUUCAGUUUUAUAUGAAAGAAGUUGUAAGAAAACGUAUGAACACUAGCCUGCCCCUAAUCCUAACCAUAGCCACUAAUUUUUGUGACAUUGUAUGAGACCACAUUGAAAUAAUACACGUCCUGCUCUCUACUUUUAGCUCAAGUCAUUCACCUUUUAUUUUUACACACUUGUGUACAUUUAUAUAUGGACAUAUUGUAACUUUGAUUAGUUACACCUGCUUUCAGUUCAGUAAGAUGUUCACAUAUUUCCCAUCCAGUUAAAGUUUUUUUUAUCCUUGAUUUUUAAUUUACUGAUUUAUUGCUUUUAUCCAAAGAGAUAUAAAAGUGAUUAAAGCAUAUCUUAUUUUCCAUGAAUUUUGCAUAGUCAGGACCUUCAGAAGUGGCUGAAAGUCAUAUACAACAUUCCUGGAACUAUCUGCUUACUAGUUAAGUCAUGAUUAGCUCAGGGCAGUCUGUUGUGUCUGGGCCAUGAUGAUGCUGACAGACCCAUCACUACAUGAUCAAGACUGAAUAAAGAUUAAAUAUCAAUUAGAGCUCUUUCUUCUUCCUCUGUUAUAAAGAGAGGAGAGUGAGAACUUCAGUAAAGGUCAUCAGGAGAUUUGAGUGACAGCUGUAAUUUCCACUGUUUUCUGGACAUUUCACAGUCAUGUCUUCAUGCACUGGGUGUAAAAACCUCAUUCAUUUCUGUGAAUAACAGGCUACAAAGCUGGCUGACAGACAGCCCUGUGUUCUCAAUCCACAGCUAGUGUUAAGAAGGGAUUAGGGCGUGUGUAGUACAUUACCUGCUCUGCUCAUACAUAACAGUGGAAGACUCCUUUUAUUUCCUAUAAUGUGUAUCAUCUCAGAGAGAAAGCUCAAGCCCUGUAGGAGCCUGACCUGAC